rnacentral:misc_RNA from 1 species
AAAUGCGAUAAGUAAUGUGAAUUGCAGAAUUCCGUGAAUCAUCGAAUCUUUGAACGCACAUUGCGCCCUCUGGUAUUCCGGGGGGGCAUGCCUGUCCGAGCGUCAUUGCGAACCCCUCAAGCACGGCUUGUGUGAUGGGCCCUCCCGCGUCUUGGUCGUCAAGACGGGCCCGAAAUGCAGUGGCGGCUUCGCGGUUAUCCGAUCAGCCAGAGCGUAUGGGGACUCUCUCUCUUGUCACACGCCCGCGGCGCGGACCGACGCCUGUCGACCUUUAUUCAUCUUCUCUCGGUUGACCUCGGAUCAGGUAGGGAUACCCGCUGAACUUAAGC